AACGAGGCCGACCUGCGGCUGAGUUACCUGCGGAGGGAUCAUUACCGAGUUAUACAACUCAUCAACCCCUGUGAACUUACCUACAACGUUGCUUCGGCGGGAACAGACGGCCCCGUAAAACGGGCCGCCCCCGCCAGAGGACCCCUAACUCUGUUUUUAUAAUGUUUUUCUGAGUAAACAAGCAAAUAAAUUAAAACUUUUAACAACGGAUCU
rnacentral:misc_RNA from 1 species